rnacentral:rRNA from 1 species
UACGUAGGGGGCAAGCGUUGUCCGGAAUCAUUGGGCGUAAAGAGCGUGUAGGCGGCCCGGUAAGUCCGCUGUGAAAGUCCAGGGCUCAACCCUGGAAUGCCGGUGGAAACUGUCGGGCUAGAGUCCGGAAGAGGCGAGUGGAAUUCCUGGUGUAGCGGUGAAAUGCGCAGAUAUCAGGAGGAACACCAAUGGCGAAGGCAGCUCGCUGGGACGGUACUGACACUGAGGAGCGAAAGCGUGGGGAGCGAACAGG